rnacentral:rRNA from 1 species
GAUGAACGCUGGCGGCGUGCCUAAUACAUGCAAGUCGAGCGAACAGACGAGGAGCUUGCUCCUCUGACGUUAGCGGCGGACGGGUGAGUAACACGUGGAUAACCUACCUAUAAGACUGGGAUAACUUCGGGAAACCGGAGCUAAUACCGGAUAAUAUAUUGAACCGCAUGGUUCAAUAGUGAAAGACGGUUUUGCUGUCACUUAUAGAUGGAUCCGCGCCGCAUUAGCUAGUUGGUAAGGUAACGGCUUACCAAGGCGACGAUGCGUAGCCGACCUGAGAGGGUGAUCGGCCACACUGGAACUGAGACACGGUCCAGACUCCUACGGGAGGCAGCAGUGGGGAAUCUUCCGCAAUGGGCGAAAGCCUGCCGGAGCAACGCCGCGUGAGUGAUGAAGGUCUUCGGUUCGUAAAACUCUGUUAUUAGGGAAGAACAAAUGUGUAAGUAACUAUGCACGUCUUGCCGGUACCUAAUAAGAAAGCCACGGCUAACUACGU